UGGGGGUUUUUGUUUGGAGAGUUUGAUCCUGGCUCAGGACGAACGCUGGCGGCGUGCUUAACACAUGCAAGUCGAACGGAAAGGCCCUUCGGGGUACUCGAGUGGCGAACGGGUGAGUAACACGUGGGUGAUCUGCCCUGCACUUUGGGAUAAGCCUGGGAAACUGGGUCUAAUACCGAAUAUGACCGCGCGUUUCAUGGCGUGUGGUGGAAAGCUUUUGCGGUGUGGGAUGGGCCCGCGGCCUAUCAGCUUGUUGGUGGGGUAAUGGCCUACCAAGGCGACGACGGGUAGCCGGCCUGAGAGGGUGUCCGGCCACACUGGGACUGAGAUACGGCCCAGACUCCUACGGGAGGCAGCAGUGGGGAAUAUUGCACAAUGGGCGCAAGCCUGAUGCAGCGACGCCGCGUGAGGGAUGACGGCCUUCGGGUUGUAAACCUCUUUCGCCAGGGACGAAGCGCAAGUGACGGUACCUGGAGAAGAAGCACCGGCCAACUACGUGCCAGCAGCCGCGGUAAUACGUAGGGUGCGAGCGUUGUCCGGAAUUACUGGGCGUAAAGAGCUCGUAGGUGGUUUGUCGCGUUGUUCGUGAAAACUCACAGCUUAACUGUGGGCGUGCGGGCGAUACGGGCAGACUGGAGUACUGCAGGGGAGACUGGAAUUCCUGGUGUAGCGGUGGAAUGCGCAGAUAUCAGGAGGAACACCGGUGGCGAAGGCGGGUCUCUGGGCAGUAACUGACGCUGAGGAGCGAAAGCGUGGGGAGCGAACAGGAUUAGAUACCCUGGUAGUCCACGCCGUAAACGGUGGGUACUAGGUGUGGGUUUCCUUCCUUGGGAUCCGUGCCGUAGCUAACGCAUUAAGUACCCCGCCUGGGGAGUACGGCCGCAAGGCUAAAACUCAAAGGAAUUGACGGGGGCCCGCACAAG
rnacentral:rRNA from 1 species